CCUACGGGAGGCAGCAGUGAGGAAUAUUGGUCAAUGGGCGGAAGCCUGAACCAGCCAAGUCGCGUGAGGGAAUAAGGCCCUACGGGUCGUAAACCUCUUUUGCCGGGGAGCAAGGGCCGGGACGCGUCCCGGCCCGGAGAGUACCCGGGGAAAAAGCAUCGGCUAACUCCGUGCCAGCAGCGGCGGUAAUACGGAGGAUGCGAGCGUUAUCCGGUUUUAUUGGGUUUAAGGGGUGCGUAGGCGGGCUAUUAAGUUAGCGUGAAAAAUUCGGGGGUCAACCCCGUGCGGCCGUUGAAACUGGGGGCCUUGAGUGGGCGUGAAGAAGGCGGAAUGCGUGGUGUAGCGGUGAAAUGCAUAGAUAUCACGCAGAACCCCGAUUGCGAAGGCAGCCUUCCGGCGCCCUACUGACGCUGAGGCACGAAAGUGCGGGGAUCGAACAGGAUUAGAUACCCGGGUAGUC
rnacentral:rRNA from 1 species